GACGAACCGUGCGAACGUUAUUCGGAAUCACUGGGCUUAAAGCGCGUGUAGGCGGAAGGGCACGUCCGUUGCUGAAAUCCCCCGGCUCAACCGGGGAACGGGCGCGGAUACGACUCUUCUGGAGGGGCGUAGGGGGACCUGGAACUUCCGGUGGAGCGGUGAAAUGCGUUGAGAUCGGAAGGAACGCCCGUGGCGAAAGCGAGGUCCUGGACGCCUACUGACGCUGAGACGCGAAAGCCAGGGGAGCGAACGUG
rnacentral:rRNA from 1 species